rnacentral:lncRNA from 1 species
UAUAAGAUUGGCUAAAUUGGUUGCUACUUAUUUUUAGUCCUAAUCAUGCAAAUGGGCAGCUUAUAUGAUGAGAUAAAUGGACACAAUUUAAGAGAUGGGCUAAAUGGGUGGUGUAUAUUUUGUGCAGCAAACAAGUGGAGCCAGAAUGGAUAGAGCCAAAGUGGGAGGAGAGAGAAGACAUGAUACGGAACUAAGGACACGAACAUCAAAGUUAUAUAAUGGAUGGGCAAAGCCAAAAUGGGUGGAGUUAGAGUAGGAGGCAAGGGUCUGCAGGGAGGCACAAGUUAAAGCUACAGUGAGAGGAGAAAAGAGGCAUGAGUUGGAGCUAGAGUAGCAGAAGAAGAGGGGCAUAAGCCAUUGGAGCU